CAAUGUAUUCACGAUAACUACAAAAUAGAUAUUAAGGCUGGUUUGCACCGUUCAAGAUUAAAAAUUAAACGUCGAUUAAGAUUUGCUAAUCUGACAUUUGUGUUUGCACCGUGUUCAGUUUAACGAAAAUCUUGGUUUAGUGGCUCACAUAUUUAAUCCGCGAAAAAUGGCCGUUUAAAUUCCAAAUCUUAGUUUAACGGUUGACGUUUCAUGAAUGGUUUGUCAAAUCACAAAAACAGAUUAUGAAAUUUAUUAACAUUUUGCAAGAAAGAUUUUUGUCUUGCUGAAGAUGGUGAUUUCAAGGUGCAAGAAUUAAUUGAGCACAUGGUUUACUGCCCCAGGUUUAUCUAUGAAGAAAGUACUCUUAUUUUGAUACAAGAAUAAAUGCAGCCGAAAACCCUUCAACAUUAUAAUUUACUCUAAAGUUAAGAAAUACAAAUUCGAAGUACGUGUUAAUACAAAUUUUUAGUUGCAAUAAUUUCAAUUUAUGGUUCUUUUUUGAUGUGUUAUUUUUAUUUCCGACAACUCGUCGUAUUCUUUUGAUAAAACUCCAUCAGGUGAUGAAGUUCAAUUGAAGUUGUAUUCUUCUUGAGCUCCAAUUAUUCUGUGUACCAGACUGAAAAUUUUAAUUUUCUUCCGUGGCAAAAUUGGAAGGUCGCACUUGUUCUUGCUCCAUUCAAGGAAAGAAAAAGCAUGCAAAACACAUCCAAACUAUUGCAGUUAUUAACUAAAAAAUGCUAU